GUUGGUGCUUUAGCGGAGGGGGUACACCCGUUCUCAUUCCGAACACGGAAGUUAAGCCCUCCAUCGCCGAUGGUACUCCUUUAUUGGGGCAGAGUAGGUAGGCGCCAACU
rnacentral:rRNA from 1 species